rnacentral:antisense_RNA from 1 species
UGGCUGGCCAAGAAAAUUUGGCAUCUGGCAUACCUAGGAAUCAUUCAAAAUAGUUUAAUAGGAAGGACAUUUUGAGGCCAGCCAGCAUUAUGACAUUUGUGGGUCCUACGGCAUUUCACCUUGGAAACAUUUUCCUGGGCAUCUAAAUCUAUUGUGGACCUGAGGCACUGUGCUUACAGGGCCUACUGGGUUGAUUCUAAAGAAGAAUGAAAAUCUAUAUACAUGAAAAGAUGUCUUAAAAAGUUUUGAACUACUCAAAGUUAAGAUUUGGGGAAAUAGAAAUAGUAUAUAACCUAAGAAAAUUGCCACUGGCUGUGAAGCCCCAUGGCAUUUUCUUUGCACUUCUUUGCUUCUCGUUAGAUUGUGUGUGUUUUUACCAUUUCACAUAAACUUUUAAAGAUUAUUCCACACCAUUAGCUCUGUGCUUCUA